CGGGUGGCAAGCUCCAGGAAGCGCUGAAAGAGCUGAUUUGCGGUGACGGGUUAUGUAUGAGGCGGGACUUCCGGGGCAGCCGUAGUAGGUAGUGUCGGGAGGUGUAGUGGGAAGGAAAGGACACGUCAGCAUCUGGCCGCGGGGCGCGGGGGGCCAUGGGAGCCCCGGGGGCGGGACAGCCUCUACUUCCAGUCUAGUCCCGCCCAUUGCGCCCCGCCCCGCGGGCCAGCGGGGAGCCCACGUGUACUGCUGAGUUCCAGGAGGGCGCAUCCGGAGCCAAGGAGGCGAGGACCUGAACAAUCUCCGUACAGGCUGCACACCUAAUUCCGACAUUUUACGUCAGCUAAAAGUGUGGGGAGGACUUGGAAAAGUCUGAGCAUCGUUAAAUCUGCGGAUGCUGGCGUUGACGGAACGCGGCCAGGCACCCUUCCUGUAGUUGGGAGUGUAUCUCUCGUGUUUGUGUCGCCGGUGUCUGGCGCUUUACGUGUCACAGCCCCAAGACACCAGAAGUUACCCAGUUGCAAACCAGAAAUCUGGAGAUCAUCAGUGACACCUCCCCUUUCUCAUUCCUCACUUCCUAGUCAACCUCUGAAAUGUUGGAUCCACAGCGGCACAGUCAAGCACACAGGCCCCAGAAACCGACCACCUGGGUUCACAUCCCAACAUUGUAUAAGCUUGAGCGCACAGAGGAAAGACCAUUGGAGGGCACAGUGAGAAGAUGGCCGUCUGCAAGCCAGAAGGAGACUUCUCACCAGACAACUCUGACACCUUAAUCUUGGACUUCUAGCCUCCAGAGUUAUGAGAACACGUUUCUGGUUUUUAAGCCGCCCAUUUUGUAGUAUGUUGUUAGUCCAAACUGACCAGUACAAAGUUUCACUGUAUGUUUACUUAAAAGAAAAGCCUCCAAACCCAAGUUGUCCAGAUCAGCCCUGAUCAGAAGAACUUUCUGUGAUGGUGGAAAUAUUCUGUAUAUGCUCUGCCCAACACAGUAGUCACCAGCUACACGUGGCUAAUGAGGACUUGAAAUUCAGCCAGUGCAGGGGCACCUGGGUGGCUCAGUCGGUUGAGCGUCUGACUUUAGCUCAGGUCAUGAUCUCACAGUUUGAGCUCAAGCCUCACAUCGGGCUGUGUGCUGACAACUCAGAGC